GAGUUUGAUUAUGGCUCAGGAUGAACGCUAGCGAUAGGCUUAACACAUGCAAGUCGAGGGGCAGCACGGGAUUAGCUUGCUAAUUUUGGUGGCGACCGGCGUAAGGGUGCGUAACGCGUAUGCAACUUGCCUGUCAGUGGGGAAUAACCCGGAGAAAUCCGGACUAAUACCGCAUACACUUUAGUUUCCGCAUGGGAACUUUAGGAAAGAUUUAUUGCUGACAGAUAGGCAUGCGUUCCAUUAGAUAGUUGGUGAGGUAACGGCUCACCAAGUCAACGAUGGAUAGGGGAGCUGAGAGGCUUAUCCCCCACACUGGAACUGAGACACGGUCCAGACUCCUACGGGAGGCAGCAGUGAGGAAUAUUGGUCAAUGGGCGAGAGCCUGAACCAGCCAAGUCGCGUGAAGGAAGACGGUCCUAUGGAUUGUAAACUUCUUUAGUAGGUGAGUACAAGCAGUUACGUGUAGC
rnacentral:rRNA from 1 species